rnacentral:rRNA from 1 species
ACCGGCGCACGGGUGCGUAACGCGUAUGCAAUCUACCUUGUACAGGGGGAUAGCCCAGAGAAAUUUGGAUUAAUACCCCAUGGUGUAUUAGAGUGGCAUCAUUUAAAUACUAAAGUUCCAACGGUACAAGAUGAGCAUGCGUCCCAUUAGUUAGUUGGUAAGGUAACGGCUUACCAAGACGAUGAUGGGUAGGGGUCCUGAGAGGGAGAUCCCCCACACUGGUACUGAGACACGGACCAGACUCCUACGGGAGGCAGCAGUGAGGAAUAUUGGUCAAUGGGCGAGAGCCUGAACCAGCCAUGCCGCGUGCAGGAAGACGGUCCUAUGGAUUGUAAACUGCUUUUAUACAGGAAGAAACACUCCCUCGUGAGGGAACCUGACGGUACUGUAGGAAUAAGGAUCGGCUAACUCCGUGCCAGCAGCCGCGGUAAUACGGAGGAUCCAAGUGUUAUCCGGAAUCAUUGGGUUUAAAGGGUCUGUAGGCGGUUUAAUAAGUCAGUGGUGAAAUCUGGUCGCUCAACGAUCAAACGGCCAUUGAUACUGUUAAACUUGAAUUAGUGUGAAGUAACUAGAAUAUGUAGUGUAGCGGUGAAACGCUUAGAUAUUACAUGGAAUACCAAUUGCGAAGGCAGGUUACUAACACUAUAUUGACGCUGAUAGACGAAAGCGUGGGUAGCGAACAGGAUUAGAUACCCUGGUAGUCCACGCCGUANACGAUGGAUACUAGCUGUUUGGAGCAAUCUGAGUGGCUAAGCGAAAGUGAUAAGUAUCCCA